rnacentral:rRNA from 1 species
CCCCCCUCUGUCUACUCAACUCUAAUAUAAACCCAAUUUAUUUUAAAAUGAAUGUAAUGGAUGUAACGCAUCUAAUACUAAGUUUCAACAACGGAUCUCUU